UAAAUAAUAAAUAAAGUGGAACAAAAAAAAUCCCUUUAAGUCUGAAGUGCCAUAGCAACAGUAUCUCUCUCAGGUGAGCAUGAUGCAGUUUCUGUUCCACAAGCACAAUAUCUUGGUAAGUAUGCCAUACUGUUCUGUGGAAUGAAAUGGAAACAUACAAAACAGACUUUAUCAAUGACAGUGUUAGCUGUGAAUGUUUAUAGUGGUACCUCGGAUUACAGACGCUUCAGGUUACAGACUCCGCUAACCCAGAAAUAUUACCUUGGGUUAAGGAUUUUGCUUCAGGAUGAGAACAGAAAUUGUAUGGUGGCGGCACGGCGGCAGCAGGAGGCCCCAUUAGCUAAAGUGGUACCUCAGGUUAAGAACAGUUUCAGGUAAAGAAUGGACCUCCAGGACGAAUUAAGUUCUUAACCCGAGGUACCACUGUAUUGUCCUUCAGUCCACUCAACAUCAUACAGAGGUGAGUGGGCAAUCUGUGAGGAUAAAAACAAACUGUUACUUUUAAGUGCUGUUUUAUGAGGCAUUGGACUUCAGGCCGGAUCCAAAGAUGCCCUUUCUUUUGUAAAAUGCUGCCUCUUCUCAUGGAAGAGCCUUUUCUGAUCUAGGAAAGAAAUGUGACAUCAGAAGUGGCCCAAAUCCAGAGAGACACUCGCACAAGACUGCAAGAGACUUUUGCCCAAAUCUUGUUCUUUCUUUGUCCUCACUAGAGCAGUGGUUUUUCACCUUUUAGGAGGUCAUGGGCCUCUUUGAUAAUUUGAUGGACCCCCACCCAAUAAAUGUGAUAUGAAUUUUUUUUCACCCCACAAACACAGUUUUCAAAGUAUCAGGAAGAAAAUAGAAGAACAUCCCUUCUUUUGCACCUGGUUCAUGGACUGUCUGUGGACCACAGGUUAAGAACCUAAGUGCUAGUGUGUAUAUGUUUUAGCCUGUCUCUUUCCUAAUUGGUGCUUCUCUUACUGUAACACAUCCUGAUGCAUAGUGUACUGCACUGAGAGAAUACUCUGUUGGAUUGUGGAAGAGCUUACUGAACAGCACCAAUACAUCCCCCCCUUUCACUCACAGUUCUUUGGCCCACACCUCAAUAAGCUGGAUGGCUCAGUAAUGGGAGACAGCGAUAAACUUGGUUCAAAUAAUGUCCUCAGCAUGGCCAAUUCAUCUGUUACCGGGAAGUGAGAAAUAACCUUCUUUCUACACCUCUUGAUAAAUUUAUGAAUAGAUGGUUGUUGAGAAUACUUGGCCAGGAAAACCUGGGUCAGAAUGACACCCAAGAUAAUCUAAUCAUUGUGAAUACAAUCACAGGCUUCUUCUAGGCCACAAUGAGCAUAAAAUGAGCCACCUUGCCUGUACUAUCUUUAAGAAAAUGUCAGAAAAUGUUAAAAUAACACACCCUUUUAGAGGUAGGUACGCCUGCAAACCUGUGAUGAUCAAAGACACCAUUUUGUCAGAUUUGUGGAUGAAAAGAAAGCUUCAUUCUCAGGAUAGUUGGCCCGAAAUCCUUUGCAAACAAUUACCUCACAUUUAGAAAUUCUCCUUUCUUUAAAAACAAAUGCACAAAGUGUUUAGAGGAAUUUAAGUUCUGAAAAGGUUUUUUUAAUGAAAUAUACCGAUACACUAUUUUUUUUUCAUUGAAUUAGUCUUUAAAGGGCUAUCUGUGUAUAAUUCAUUGAUUCAAGUAUCUGACAGUGAUUCCACUUUUUCUUUUUUCUUUCCAUUUGCAUUUAUCAUAUUUUAUAAAUCUAACGAUAAAUGUGUUUUAUGGACAUGUUGUCACAUUGACAGUGAAUUUAAUAGAGGCCUGUUUCACUUGCAAUUAAACUCUGUCAUCCCCACUCUGUAGGCCUCAUCUAGACCUCUCGUUCUACCUAAAAAACUGCCCAGCUGAGUAAAAGCAGCAGAUUUUGGAUGGAUUCUGAGGAGACAUGGAGAUACAAGUCAAGACGUCCUUCUGAAAAGAUAAUCUGCUUAGGGAAAAGAGGCAAUUAGGAACACUCUUCAUAAGAGGCUAAAUAAUGUUUUCUCCAAGCCAUUGAUAAAAUCUACAGUAGAAGAACAGGUGAAAGGCCAUUUCGAUUUCUGCAGCUAUCCUGGAAAGGGAACCUUGGGAAAUCUACAAUCUUCUUACAAGGUUGGCUUGCUCUGAUACAAUGUUCAGUUCCCCUGAAGCCUGAUACACUGUAGGUUCUUGGAAGAAAAGUGCCUGCAUUUAAUUCCAGCACCAUUUCAACAAAGAAGAAAUACUCAACUAAGAAUUACAUGUGGGAUGAUGGAGGAAAAGCAGCUAAGAACAAUGUUUGAGAUGGAAGUAGCAUGUGGAUAUCCUACAACAAAGGCAUAAAGCCAAGACUCCUCUAAAAAUGACUCCAUCAACAUGAACAUAGCAAACGCUGCUGCCACGACUGUGCCACUGCCAAACCCACCCUUACAUAAUACUGCUGGUCACACCACUGGGGCCAUCUAGUAGAGUAUUGUCUACCCUGACUGUCAGUGUUUCUCCAGGGUUUCAACAGAAGUUCUUUUCACACCUACCUGGAGAUGCCAGGAAUUAAACCACCUGGACCUUUAUUUUGUGCUACACAAAGGAGUGUGAAUCUCUAUCUGCUAUCUCAGGUGACCUCAUGCAUCUGUUCCCCACACAUUUCU